GAUGAACGCUGGCGGCGUGCCUAAUACAUGCAAGUCGAGCGAACGGACGAGAAGCUUGCUUCUCUGAUGUUAGCGGCGGACGGGUGAGUAACACGUGGAUAACCUACCUAUAAGACUGGGAUAACUUCGGGAAACCGUAGCUAAUACCGGAUAAUAUUUUGAACCGCAUGGUUCAAAAGUGAAAGACGGUCUUGCUGUCACUUAUAGAUGGAUCCGCGCUGCAUUAGCUAGUUGGUAAGGUAACGGCUUACCAAGGCAACGAUGCAUAGCCGACCUGAGAGGGUGAUCCGCCACAAUGGAACUGAGACACGGUCCAGACUCCUACGGGAGGCAGCAGUAGGGAAUCUUCCGGCAUGGGCGAAAGCCUGACGGAGCAACGCCGCGUGGGUGAUGAAGGGUUUCGGAUCGUAAAACCCUGUUAUUAGGGAAGAACAUAUGUGUAAGUAACUGUGCACAUCUUGACGGUACCUAAUCAGAAAGCCACGGCUAACUACGUG
rnacentral:rRNA from 1 species